AUUGAACGCUGGCGGCAGGCUUAACACAUGCAAGUCGAACGAGUGGCGGACGGGAGAGUAAUGAUUGGGAAUCUAGAUUAAGGAGGGGGAUAACUAAGGGAAACUGUAGCUAAUACAGCGUACCAUAGGAUGAGCCCAAGUGGGAUUAGGUAGUUGGUUAGGUAAUGGCUAACCAAGCUGACGAUCUCUAGCUGGUCUGAUAGGAUGACCGGCCACACUGGGACUGAUACACGUCGCAGGCUCCUACGGGCGGCUGCAGGUGGUAAUACUUCGCAAUCGGGACAACCUAACGCAGCCAUGCCGCGUGAAUGAAGAGGGCCUUCGGUUUUUAAAGUUCUUUCGGUAGCGAGGCGUUUACUACAGAAGAUGCACCGGCUAACUCCGUGACACCAGCCGCGGUAAUA
rnacentral:rRNA from 1 species